UACAGAGGUCCCAAGCGUUGUUCGGAAUUAUUGGGCGUAAAGGGUGCGUAGGCGGUUUGGUAAGUCUUGUGUGAAAUCUACAGGCUCAACUUGUAGUCUGCACGAGAAACUGCCGGGCUUGAGUGUGGGAGAGGUGAGUGGAAUUCCUGGUGUAGCGGUGAAAUGCGUAGAUAUCAGGAGGAACACCUGUGGCGAAAGCGGCUCACUGGACCAUAACUGACGCUGAUGCACGAAAGCUGGGGGAGCAAACAGG
rnacentral:rRNA from 1 species